rnacentral:rRNA from 1 species
AGUCUGCAACUCGACUACAUGAAGCUGGAAUCGCUAGUAAUCGCAGAUCAGAAUGCUGCGGUGAAUACGUUCCCGGGUCUUGUACACACCGCCCGUCACACCAUGGGAGUCGGAAAUGCCCGAAGCCGGUGACCAAACCAAUAAGGAGGGAGCCGUCGAAGGCAGGUCUGAUAACUGGGGUGAAGUCGUAACAAGGUACC